rnacentral:rRNA from 1 species
GACGUAGGGCGCGAGCGUUGUCCGGAAUUAUUGGGCGUAAAGCGCGCGCAGGCGGUUCCUUAAGUCUGAUGUGAAAGCCCCCGGCUCAACCGGGGAGGGUCAUUGGAAACUGGGGAACUUGAGUGCAGAAGAGAAGAGCGGAAUUCCACGUGUAGCGGUGAAAUGCGUAGAGAUGUGGAGGAACACCAGUGGCGAAGGCGGCUCUUUGGUCUGUAACUGACGCUGAGGCGCGAAAGCGUGGGGAGCAAACAGG